AUGGCUUUUGAGUCUUUAAACUGAGAUUAAGUAACUUCUUAUUAGCUUAAUAUGUGUGCAUUCUCUAUCUGGGGCGAACUCAAUAAAUGCAUAUUUAGAGCAGGGAGAUGGAACAGAAGCGGGCUUCCUCCACUUCAUGCAUUGACUUGGGUUUGCAGUACAUCUCAGAAUGGUGCACACCCU